rnacentral:miRNA from 1 species
GUAGAACGUGUUGAAGAAUGGC